rnacentral:rRNA from 1 species
AGUGAACGCUGGCGGUAGGCCUAACACAUGCAAGUCGAACGGCAGCACAGUAAGAGCUUGCUCUUACGGGUGGCGAGUGGCGGACGGGUGAGGAAUACAUCGGAAUCUACUUUUUCGUGGGGGAUAACGUAGGGAAACUUACGCUAAUACCGCAUACGACCUACGGGUGAAAGCAGGGGAUCUUCGGACCUUGCGCGAUUGAAUGAGCCGAUGUCGGAUUAGCUAGUUGGCGGGGUAAAGGCCCACCAAGGCGACGCUCCGUAGCUGGUCUGAGGGGAUGAUCAGCCACACUGGAACUGAGACACGGCCCAGACUCCUACGGGAGGCAGCAGUGGGGAAUAUUAGACAAUGGGCGCGAGCCUGAUCCAGCCAUACCGCGGGGGUGAAGAAGGCCUUCGGGUUGUAAAGCCCUUUUGUUGGGAAAGAAAAGCAGCAGGUUAAGACCCCGCGGUUCUGACGGUACCCGAAGAAGAAGCACCGGCUAACUUCGUG